CCUGUUCCCUUUUUUUUUUUUUUUUUUUUUCUCAUACCUACCAGAAAAGUCUCUUCCCCUCAGUGUUCAGUGUCUCUGCUGGGAAUUCCAAAGGAUGGCAGAAAUCAUUUCAUAAGGGAAACAACGUGGAGACUCGCUGCUCAAGAACAAGGAAAGAUGAUCACUUCUUAAACACAGCUGAAACAGAAAGACACUUUAAAAAACAGCUGUUGCCCAAAUACGGUAGUUCUGGCCGGGCGUCAAGGUGGG
rnacentral:lncRNA from 1 species